rnacentral:lncRNA from 1 species
UCAUCGCACAAAUAUUUAUACAAACACAAAUACAAACAAGUAAGGGUGAACUACCACGCAAUAGACUAUUAUAAAUGAGGCAUAAUACUACUUCUACACAUAACUCAUUCAUAAUAAAAUUAAUGUAAGAUGAAAAUGAUUAUACUAGACUCUGCGAAAUAGCACGUUAAUGGAAGUCUCAAGUGGUCGUGCACUUGUGAUGGCCCUCACUCCUCAUACAAUAAAAGUCAUGGCUAAAUAGAAUACACCAUGCCAUCCACAAAGUUAGCCCGCUAAGACCUAUAUCAAAAACCAGCACAUAGACUAGGACCUCCUGCCCC